AUGUGAGGGGGUGUGGUCACAUGUAAGGGGGUGUGGUCAGAGAGUGAGGGGCAUGUCAAUGUGAAGUGUUGUCAUGUGUAAGGGGUGUGGUCAGGCUCACCUGUGUGAUUGGCAUGUGUGAUGAUUUGUGUUUAGAGUGUAAGGGGGUGUGGUCAGAGAGGGGUGUGGUCAGGGAGUGAGAGGGUGUGGUCAGGUUUACUUGAGUGAUCGACUGUAUAUGAUGAUUUGUGUUUAGAGUGUAAGGAGGUGUGGUCAGAGAGUGAGAGGCGUGUCAGUGUGAGGUGUUGUCAUGUGUAAGGGGUGUGGUCAGAAUGUGAGGGGGUGUGGUCAG